rnacentral:rRNA from 1 species
AAAUGAAUAGACGGGACCCCGCACAAGCAGCGGAGCGUGUGGUUUAAUUCGAUGCUACACGAAGAACCUUACCAGGGUUUGACAUGCAAGUGGUAGGAAUCCGAAAGGUGACCGACCCUUCGGGGAGCUUGCACAGGUGCUGCAUGGCUGUCGUCAGCUCGUGUCGUGAGAUGUUCGGUUAAGUCCGCUAACGAGCGCAACCCUCGUCGUGUGUUAUACGUGUCACACGAUACUGCCGGUAUCAAGCCGGAGGAAGGUGGGGAUGAUGUCAAGUCAGCAUGGCCUUUAUAUCCUGGGCUACACACACGCUACAAUGGCAGAUACAAUAGGUUGCGAAACCGCGAGGUGGAGCCAAUCCUCAAAGUCUGUCUCAGUUCAGAUUGUAGGCUGCAACUCGCCUGCAUGAAGUCGGAGUUGCUAGUAAACGCAGGUCAGCUAUACUGCGUUGAAUACGUUCCCGGGGUUUGUACACACCGCCCGU